AGGAUGAACGCUGGCGGCGUGCCUAAUACAUGCAAGUCGAACGAGGUGCUUUUGUAGCAAUACGAGAGUAUCCUAGUGGCGAACGGGUGAGUAACGCGUUGGUGACCUACCCAAAGUGUGGAAUAACAGUCCGAAAGGAUUGCUAAUACCGCAUGUGGUUAUCGGGUUUAGAAACUGAUAACUAAAGGAGCAAUUCGCUUUGGGAGGGACCUGCGUUCCCCGAUACGACGU
rnacentral:rRNA from 1 species